rnacentral:misc_RNA from 1 species
AGCAGCCAAAAAGAAACAACAAGCCGAUUUUACCCUGUCCACCGAAUUGGCCGAUUAAACAGCGCAUUUCAACUCUUGCUAAACACAAUCUGCGGCUCCGAAAAACUGCCGAGACUCGCAGAUUCGAGAGUGGCGAUUGUCUGACUUCUGACAUGACACCCUCAGCCGUCAGUUCGAACCCUCCACGCAGAGUUUGAACUCAGAUGAGCAAAUGCCGGAUUUUGCCGUUUGCGAUUUAGUCGCGGGCACUGGUGACACCUUGUGUUGACAGUUGCCGUUACUCUCUGGCGCAGACUGGUAUUUCCCGUUCCAGUCUUGGUCAGGGUGUUUGAUCCGGUAACAGUUCGGUCACGAACACGCUUGAACGGAGAGAACACGCCAUAUGAUGGGAUGGGGUAGUAUGAGGGGUUCUGGGCGGUCUGAGUGGUCCUGGAAUGAUCUGAGUGGUCCUGGAGUGGUCUUAGUGGUCCUGGAGAGGUCCCAGUGUCCCUGGUGUGGUUAAUUCCGCAACUAGAGCUUGGCAUAACUAGCCAGAUAGAAUACGCGGUCCCUUUCACCUCGCCAGCUUGUUUCUCACUUUAUCAAUCUCCUUGCCCCGGUGGACACAUGUGCCGAGUGAGACAGUGCUGGAAUGAUGAUUGGAGAAUGACUGAAGUGCGGCCGGAGUACGACUGAAAGGGGUACACUGAAAGGCGACUGACGAGAUUGAAAAGAGACUGGUGAGGGCAGUAGUCCCUCAGAAUAGUCAUUUAUAACAGUCAGUCAUCCGGUCGCCCAGCCAGAUUGACGUCAUUAACUCAAGAUUGGCGUCUUUGACUCUCCGGUAGCCCGCCAUUGCCGCAUUAGCGCCAAUAAAGCACUGUCGCUCUCCAACGUACGGCGCGGGAAUACGAGCUGAUUGCGUGAACUGACCGUGUUGGGUGAUCAGCGGAGGACAAACGGAGAGACAGAUCAGUCGAGGCGUGACGGAUUCUAGUUUGCCAGACAACUCAAUCCAUUCUAAGCCCUAAGUGGGUUUAAAUGUCGAUUUGUGACAGAAUCGUGACGGUUACUGGUCGAUUUGGAGUUCAGUAUGCGAUAGUACCUCAGUCUUUGGAGACCACAUUAUCCUUCUUCCAAUUCUCCUUCUUCCUGUCCUCUACUCAUUCACAUUCCCUUAGGGCUUCAGAGCGACACUGAGUGCUGGACGUAUCCACAGAAUGCAACCGACUAUCAUCGGCCCGACUUUCUCGAGUGCAAAUCACCACAACUCAGCUAGUUUCAGCCACAGCACAACCAAAGCCACAGCCACAAACCCCAGCCACAUGAUUUAGAUUUCGCUAGAUUUGGUAAAUGCUGCGAUUCAGCUAAAUUUGAACUUUUAGCGAGAUUCAAAGUUUCAGAUGGUGGACUGUAUAUCUGAAAAAAGAAAAAAAGCGGCGAGAUAAGCGGUGGUGAUGGCUC